rnacentral:rRNA from 1 species
CUACGGGAGGCAGCAGUGGGGAAUUUUGCGCAAUGGGCUAACGCCUGACGCAGCAACGCCGCGUGGAGGAUGAAAUCCCUUGGGAUGUAAACUCCUUUCGAUCGGGACGAUUAUGACGGUACCGGAAGAAGAAGCCCCGGCUAACUUCGUGCCAGCAGCCGCGGUAAU